GGCGAAGGCUGCUGUCUAGUUGAGUUGCUUCUGUAGCAGGAACAGUCAGUGUCAUUAAUUUUCUUCUGCACCGUGUGGGCUGUAGAACAUGAUGGAUCACAUUGCCACUUCAAAACGGGAGUCUUCCGAGGCAGCCCUAGAUUUGAGUGGUCUGACCAUGUUCGCCAGAAGAACAGACACACAUGUGUGAAGUAGAGAGACACAGGAGAAAGAAAGAAAGAAAGAAAAGAUUUGCCCUCUGUAAAUGCUUCCUUUGUGCUUUCCAGACAAGAGUUUCUGACACGUCGUGGGAACACUGAAGAAGUCAGUCUUCAGGGUGUUUUCAUUCAGGGGGUGGCUUGAGAUGGAUUAAUGGCAGAUCACAAUAAAUUAUU